rnacentral:rRNA from 1 species
GUGGGGAAUAUGGACAAUGGGCGAAAGCCUGAUCCAGCCAUGCCGCGUGUGUGAAGAAGGUCUUCGGAUUGUAAAGCACUUUAAGUUGGGAGGAAGGGCAGUAAGUUAAUACCUUGCUGUUUUGACGUUACCGACAGAAUAAGCACCGGCUAACUUCGUGCCAGCAGCCGCGGUAAUACGAAGGGUGCAAGCGUUAAUCGGAAUUACUGGGCGUAAAGCGCGCGUAGGUGGUUUUGUAAGUUGGAGGUGAAAUCCCCGGGCUCAACCUGGGAACUGCCUCCAAAACUGCAUGACUAGAGUACGGUAGAGGGUAGUGGAAUUUCCUGUGUAGCGGUGAAAUGCGUAGAUAUAGGAAGGAACACCAGUGGCGAAGGCGACUACCUGGACUGAUACUGACACUGAGGUGCGAAAGCGUGGGGAGCAAACAGGAUUAGAUACCCGUGUAGUCC